rnacentral:rRNA from 1 species
AGAGUAGGGCGGGACACGUGGUAUCCUGUCUGAAUAUGGGGGGACCAUCCUCCAAGGCUAAAUACUCCUGACUGACCGAUAGUGAACCAGUACCGUGAGGGAAAGGCGAAAAGAACCCCGGCGAGGGGAGUGAAAAAGAACCUGAAACCGUGUACGUACAAGCAGUAGGAGCCCACUUGUUGGGUGACUGCGUACCUUUUGUAUAAUGGGUCAGCGACUUAUAUUCUGUAGCAAGGUUAACCGUAUAGGGGAGCCGCAGGGAAACCGAGUCUUAACUGGGCGUUAAGUUGCAGGGUAUAGACCCGAAACCCGGUGAUCUAGCCAUGGGCAGGUUGAAGGUUGGGUAACACUAACUGGAGGACCGAACCGACUAAUGUUGAAAAAUUAGCGGAUGACUUGUGGCUGGGGGUGAAAGGCCAAUCAAACCGGGAGAUAGCUGGUUCUCCCCGAAAGCUAUUUAGGUAGCGCCUCGUGAACUCAUCUUCGGGGGUAGAGCACUGUUUCGGCUAGGGGGUCAUCCCGACUUACCAACCCGAUGCAAACUACGAAUACCGAAGAAUGUUAUCACGGGAGACACACGGCGGGUGCUAACGUCCGUCGUGAAGAGGGAAACAACCCAGACCGCCAGCUAAGGUCCCAAAGUCAUGGUUAAGUGGGAAACGAUGUGGGAAGGCCCAGACAGCCAGGAUGUUGGCUUAGAAGCAGCCAUCAUUUAAAGAAAGCGUAAUAGCUCACUGGUCGAGUCGGCCUGCGCGGAAGAUGUAACGGGGCUAAACCAUGCACCGAAGCUGCGGCAGCGACGCUUAUGCGUUGUUGGGUAGGGGAGCGUUCUGUAAGCCGUUGAAGGUGGCCUGUGAGGGUUGCUGGAGGUAUCAGAAGUGCGAAUGCUGACAUAAGUAACGAUAAUGCGGGUGAAAAACCCGCACGCCGGAAGACCAAGGGUUCCUGUCCAACGUUAAUCGGGGCAGGGUGAGUCGACCCCUAAGGCGAGGCCGAAAGGCGUAGUCGAUGGGAAACAGGUUAAUAUUCCUGUACUUGGUGUUACUGCGAAGGGGGGACGGAGAAGGCUAUGUUGGCCGGGCGACGGUUGUCCCGGUUUAAGCAUGUAGGCGGAUGUUCCAGGUAAAUCCGGAACGUUUUAACGCUGAGGUGUGAUGACGAGGCACUACGGUGCUGAAGUGACAAAUGCCCUGCUUCCAGGAAAAGCCUCUAAGCAUCAGGUAACAUCAAAUCGUACCCCAAACCGACACAGGUGGUCAGGUAGAGAAUACCAAGGCGCUUGAGAGAACUCGGGUGAAGGAACUAGGCAAAAUGGUGCCGUAACUUCGGGAGAAGGCACGCUGAUAUGUAGGUGAAGUGGUUUACCCAUGGAGCUGAAAUCAGUCGAAGAUACCAGCUGGCUGCAACUGUUUAUUAAAAACACAGCACUGUGCAAACACGAAAGUGGACGUAUACGGUGUGACGCCUGCCCGGUGCCGGAAGGUUAAUUGAUGGGGUUAUCCGUAAGGAGAAGCUCUUGAUCGAAGCCCCGGUAAACGGCGGCCGUAACUAUAACGGUCCUAAGGUAGCGAAAUUCCUUGUCGGGUAAGUUCCGACCUGCACGAAUGGCGUAAUGAUGGCCAGGCUGUCUCCACCCGAGACUCAGUGAAAUUGAACUCGCUGUGAAGAUGCAGUGUACCCGCGGCAAGACGGAAAGACCCCGUGAACCUUUACUAUAGCUUGACACUGAACACUGGUCCUUGAUGUGUAGGAUAGGUGGGAGGCUUUGAAGUGUGGACGCCAGUCUGCAUGGAGCCAUCCUUGAAAUACCACCCUUUAAUGGCUGGUGUUCUAACGUGGGCCCGUAAUCCGGGUUGCGGACAGUGUCUGGUGGGUAGUUUGACUGGGGCGGUCUCCUCCUAAAGAGUAACGGAGGAGCACGAAGGUCAGCUAAUCCUGGUCGGACAUCAGGAGGUUAGUGCAAUGGCAUAAGCUGGCUUGACUGCGAGCGUGACGGCGCGAGCAGGUGCGAAAGCAGGUCAUAGUGAUCCGGUGGUUCUGAAUGGAAGGGCCAUCGCUCAACGGAUAAAAGGUACUCCGGGGAUAACAGGCUGAUACCGCCCAAGAGUUCAUAUCGACGGCGGUGUUUGGCACCUCGAUGUCGGCUCAUCACAUCCUGGGGCUGAAGUAGGUCCCAAGGGUAUGGCUGUUCGCCAUUUAAAGUGGUACGCGAGCUGGGUUUAGAACGUCGUGAGACAGUUCGGUCCCUAUCUGCCGUGGGCGCUGGAGAAUUGAGGGGGGCUGCUCCUAGUACGAGAGGACCGGAGUGGACGCAUCACUGGUGUUCGGGUUGUCAUGCCAAUGGCAUUGCCCGGUAGCUAAAUGCGGAAGAGAUAAGUGCUGAAAGCAUCUAAGUACGAAACUUGCCCCGAGAUGAGUUCUCCCUGACUCCUUGAGAGUCCUGAAGGAACGUUGAAGACGACGACGUUGAUAGGCCGGGUGUGUAAGCGCAGCGAUGCGUUGAGCUAACCGGUACUAAUGAACCGUGAGGCUUAACCU